UCGGCUAUUUCCGGUUCCUCUCGGGGAAUUCCGGCCUCGCUCGGUCUCCGGGGAAGCAGCAGCUGCCGCACCGCCACCGCCGGAGCAGUAGUUAGAAAAGUCUUGGCGGAAUGGAAGAGCCUCAGAGGGUGCAGGAUGUGGGCGUGUCCCGCGCCCCGAAUCUCUCUGGGGACCCCGAUCCUGAAGAGACCAUCCAAAGCCUGCAAGCCCAGUUGGCAGCCGCCUUGGCCGAAGUGGAGACAGUCCGAGCUGUGGCUGCAGUGAGUGAAGGCACCAAGCAGGAGGCGGUGGAGGCUGUCCAGCGCCGGUGCCAGGAAGAGGUGGCUUCCUUGCAGACUAUCUUGAAAGAUACCAUUUCCAGCUAUGAGGCCCGUCUGUCAGCUUUCCAGCGUGACAGCCGGGAAAAUGUUCGGAGCAGGCUGCCAAGGACCAACCCUUUGGACUCACUGGAGAAACAGAUGGAAAAAGCACAAGAGGAUACUCUGCGACUUCGGGCCAUUGUUCUGCCGAUGGAGCAGGAAAUUGCUGAACUAAAAGCAAAACUGGCCCAUGCUGAGAGUCUGGUUCAGGAGCUGCAGAGUGAGGAGGUGAGAUGGAAAAGAGGGACAGAAGAAAAGCAUUCCUUAUGUAGCUCAGCAGAAUCUCUUGCUGACCCAGAGGCUGUGUCCACGGAAUUGCCUGGAAGUCAUCAGGUUCCUUUGAUGGAAGGAGGAGUAGCAGAGAAGUUUGCCUGCAGUCUGGACAGCAUCUCCAUUGCUUCAUUUUCCUCUUUGGCACCAAGUUCUGGGCCUUCUGUCCGACGCAGACGUCCCCCAAGUCCUGAGACAUGUUCCAUUGCCUCCUCCACUGGAACCCUGGUGCCUGAGACUAUUUAUCUACCACCAGUGGGCUACCAGCUUGUGUCUGAACCAGAGUGGGCUCAGCUCCAAGAACAGGUACAACAACAACAUGCAGCUCUGGAGGAAAGAGCAAAGGAGAAAGCUAACCUGGAGGAGGCAUUGAGACGUAGCAAUGAAGAAUGCAGUAAGCAGGUUCAGGUUCUUUUGAUUCAAAUCCAGACAUCGGAGAACAUUCUCCAAAGCCUCCAAGCCACCGUGAGUGAAACCCAGCGGAAGACUCAAGAGCAGAUGGCUGAUUUGGCUGCAUCCCACAAACACCUCAGCUAUGAAGUGCAACGUCUCAAUGCCGAGAAUGAAGGCCUGCGGGGGAAGAGUUCCCAAGAUUCUCCCCCAACAGAUGAUGAAACUAGGAGCUUGCCCAGCACAGUGCCGGAGUUGCAAGCCAUGGUGUCCAAGCUGAGGCAAGAGUCUGCCUUACAACUUCGGGCUGCAGAGCAUCAGGCUGAGCGCCUGCGAAUUGAAAUUAUAUCCUUGCGGGAGCAGCUGGAUGAAGAAACAGCAUCUCAGUCAAGCCUGAAGGGGGCGCUGGAGAGAGAGCGGGAAGAAAGAGAGCUUUUGCAAGCCUCUUUGAAUAGUAUUCAGAGUGAGAUGGAAAGGCUGCAGCAAGGGCAAGAAGAGCUGAAUAGAAUUCAGAUGCAGCCUGAUGUGAGAGAAGCCAGUACACUACCAGGGAGGCCAGAGGCUUAGACUGACAAUGAGGAAAUUGGGCCUCUCUGUCUUCCCAUUCCUGACACUCCAGGAACCUCAGGGAAAUCAUGACUUUCCAGGCACCAAUGGGUCAACUUGCUCCUCCAGAGCAUCUCCAGGUCUUCUCUCUGCAUGGGUAGGAGUACCAGAACUCUGGAGCUUUAUAGGGCAAGUUGAAUUAAAAAACAGUGACUCACCAAAAAUUAUCCUGCAAGUUUCCAUGACUGAGUAGAUUUGUCUUGAAUCAUGAUCUCUCUAAUGCACUUAAGCUUAAAACUGAUGUCUCCAAUAUCAAGAUGUUAGCAUAUUUGCAGAUACUUCCCAGGACUCCUACCAGACUUGUAGAAAAAAAAAUAAGAAUUUAUUUAUUAAAUUUGCCCAUCUCGCUGCAAGGCAACUCUGGCUGGCUUGCAACAUUAAGAACGGGAAACAGAUGUUGAUACUAUUAAUAAUUGUACUGUUUUAUAUUGUUGUAUGCCAUUGUCAGUCAAUUACAAUUGAGUACCAUAUAAUUUCAAUAAAUACUGUAAAUAAAAC